UACAGGGGGCCUCGAGCGUUUAGGCGGAGUCACUGGGCUUAAAGCGUGUGUAGGCGGACUUCUAAGUACCUUGUGAAAUCCCCACGGCUUACCCGUGGAACGGCUGGGUAUACUGGUUGUCUUGAGCCACUUAGGGGCUACCGGAACAAAUGGUGGAGCGGUGAAAUGCGUAGAUAUCAUUUGGAACGCCAAUGGUGAAAACAGGUAGCUGGGAGUGUGCUGACGCUGAGACACGAAAGCCAGGGGAGCGAACGGG
rnacentral:rRNA from 1 species